UCCACUCCGCCAGGCUUCGAUUCCCACAGGCAGCAGUUUUUGCCGAGAACAAAAAAACCCAGUGUGCCUCUCGCUCCCCAACCCUAGCGCGCCUCGCGCCGGCCGCUGCCGCCGCCACCACUCCCUCCCGAUGUCCGAGUCCGCGGAGCCACGGAAGGGGUAUGCCUGCUCACGUCCCGGUUCCCUGCUGCAGCCGCCGACCAGGGACCCUCGCGGCGGUGGCUCUGGAGAUCGUCGCGUCCCCCUCUCCAUCCCCAUCCCCCGCAAGCCGGAGAGGGCGUUUCCGUCCUCACGCAAAACGGCCCGAGCGGCGGCCGCGCAGGAGCAGCACCCUCAGCUGAUUCCCUCUCCCGCCUCCCACCCUUCCCUCGUUAGCAGAGCGGUUCCAGCUCGCUCCCUCUCCCUCCGACACUCGCUGGCCUUAGAUCGAUGCUGCCGCCAAGGUUCGCUGAGACAUUCUUCGUUCUGUCUGUAGCCUAAUGAUGUUGGUGAAUGCAUGUUUCAGGAACAUAAGCGCCAAGGGGAAGGUACCUCUGCAUCGGCUGCAAAGAAAUCACACAAGCUUGGCUAUGAACAAGAGCUAUCUGAUGUGCUGCUGAUUUGAAAGAAGCCUAAGGUUGAGGGUACACUUUUGCGUGGAUCAGGUUUUGGAGAAGAAAAAGCUUCAGAGCCAAGCAAAGAGCCGGGUUGCUUCUUGCUGUGUGCGUUUCUUGAGAGAGAAUAUAGCAGAAAUGAGCUUCUCCAUCACAACAUGAAGAGCUGAGAAGGAAAUUUGCUUCCUACUAUACAAGGUAGCUAGCUCCUUUUUUUUGGAUUUUUUACAGCUACAACAUGGAUAGUUCCUAGGUUGCCAGCAAUGCCUAUGAAUUGCCACGACACUGAAUUUUGGCUAUUUUUUAUUCUGAAUAAAAAUAAAAUUUUAUAUUGUUUUUUCUCCUUGUAACCUUGUAUGUCUUGAUAGGUUUCCUAAACUGCAAGGUUGUGACACUCAAAUUGAGGGUUUGUUGCUAGAAAAUAAAUUAUGUCUUAGCCAUUAGUUGCUCUGAAACUAUUUAGCUUGCCUGCACCAUAUUGAGGGUAGGGCAGGUGCAUUCACUUAUGAGAGUGACCAUCUGUGAGCUAUAUUUUAGUUGUAUCUCUGCUUGUGAUUGGAAUAAUGACCUGAAGUGGAUUUUAGGGUAGGGCAGGUGCAUAGAGUUUCCAAACCUAUGCUUAUGGGUUCUUACUCUGAUUCGUUGAAUGGAUCUGCAAUAAUAAUGAAGAAUCACAAUUCGCAGGUGGUCUUGCCAAACUGUGCAGGUAGUUGAGGCAUCAUUAUCUUGAAUCUUCGAGAGUUUUGUAUGUUCCUUAUGAAAAAAAAUGAGUUCAGUACUUCUUUGCUAUUGGUGAUCUGUUAGUGUGCCAAUAUCAUCACUAUGGGUUUUGAAGUUGGCUGUAUGAUCAGUGAAGGUCUGUGGUUUUUCAUUGAUAUACCUAAUUCGGUGAAGGUAAGUAAUACUUCCAACUUUGUGCACUACUCACUGUUUCUGAAGUUGGGGCCACCUAGCCCAUCAUAUGUGGCUCUUUAUCUUGACUCUCAUGCUUAGCAUUUAAUUGCCUAUGUGACUCUCAUAAUCAGUAAUUGGACACUAGGCACCACUGUUGCUAGGCUAGCUCUUUUUUUCUGAAAUAUAUCACCAUUGGUGUUCUACAUGCAUGUGAAUACAUGGUUUAUUCCUUCAGGUUUGGAAUAUGCAAACAGCAGCAGAAAUGAAUCUUACUGGAUCAAGUGGGAAAGUCUAUGCACUCGUUGUUGCCACUGAGUUAAUCUUUGCUGCAACAUAGGGUUUGUACACAGAGGACGAGUAACUACAUAAAAUGGAAGGGGGACUUAAAGCAAGGCUGCAUAGAAUGCUUACUACAAAGGGGUUAUGUAUUCAAAUUUCAACCAACCAGUUAGAGUCUGGUGAUGCAGGUCAGCAUGUACGUCACCAUGUAUGAUUCAGAUCAAAUGGAACCAAGCAGUUCAGAAAGAGAUUGAGAUUAAAAGUCCAGGAAGGCAUGUUCAUCUACUGAUAGGUGGCACGAUUAUUUGUAAAUUUCUAGCUACUCAAGAAAUUUACAAAUAAAUUUCUAGCUACUCAAGACAA